UCUUCCCCGUUCUGAUGCUCAGUCUGCACUUCAGCUAGUUGUCUUGACCUCCUCUACAUGCCUGAAUGCAUUGAGUUGUGGCCAUGUGAUUGGCUGAUUAGCUAUUUGUGUUAACAAGCAACUGGUUAAUAAAGUGGCCGUCGUGUAUGCCGAAUAUGACCAAAGUUAGCAUUUACAUUUCUAAACUAGGCCGUCGAAUCAGCACCUUCAGAUCGACGUGUCUCUGUUUUUACGCCCAUUUUAUUGAUGAAUGUAACAGACAUGGUACAAAAUGACUUCAACUACUACGUCAUCGUACAUUAAACGGACUACGUUCCCCUCUUUCUCAGAUAAAGACACUGCUUUAGAGACUUAGAGGUUUUCUUAUGACAGUAACGAUGUAAAACUCACAGGAGUUCCUGUGAAGAUGCAGCUCCGAUACUCUCUCUGGACUUACACUCUCACAGCUAAUCACGGCUAACUGCGGCUAAUCACUGCUAAUAAUCAGUGCCCGUUCUCUUUUACUGCCAGGAUUGUGCAUUUUCUGCUUUGUGACUGACCACACAGUCAGCAAAUUGACCCGAGAGGCUGACUGCUUUUAGCCAACCACCAAAUGCCCGAAAGUCCAGCGCAGUCUGAUGAUUUCACUCCUUUAACCCACCUGCUAAAACAGGAAUUAGAGUAGCGGCCGGUGACUAGAGAGAAGCAGAAUGAAGAGUUAAAGCAGAGUUGGAGUGGACACACGGUGGGGACGACCGCUCGCCCAUGACGGAGGGAUGCUGAAGACUUUUGUAAAGAUACCGCAGGUCCGUGGUGCAUCGCGGGUCAGAUCAAAGCUGCGGUCAGGAGCUGCAGUUUAAUGUUCUACCUGCGUAAAGGACCUGCUGAGUGGACGAAAAGUGCGGCGGGGCCUCGUGGAUCCUGUGUUCAGAAGUCUGAACUGCUGCUCUGGGACUCUGCUGGACUGGAUGCAGUUGUCAUGGUCACAUGGUUAAGCAGUCUUCCUAUCAUGUGCUUCCUAAAACAUAUCCCACAAUGCAUUUGUUAUUCUACAAGGCAUCUACUGGAUGCCUCAUCCCUGAUCACCAAUGUCUACACCACAGCGGGAACUUCACACCACCAGGACGGUUCCUCACCAGUGUGAGUGUGUGUGUGUGUGUGUGUGUUUGUGUGUGUGUGUGUGGACCACAUGAAUUCUGCUAAUGUUAAAUUGUGAUAAAAACAGGUCAACAGUUUUCAGAGAGAGACGCAGGAGAGGUUAGCUAACAUUUCAGAUCUUAAGAGAUUUCAGCACAUAUACAGGGAGAUUCACUUGAAAGAGGCCCCCAAUAUUCUGGAAUAGCUCUCACUAGGAUUAAGCGAUCUGAACCAAACAACGCACAAUGCGCUCCUCAGUAUAUGGAGCUUCGAACAAGCCGGGAUGCCCCUGCGUCGGAGCAAUGAGGUCAGGACCGGACAGCAGUCACGAGGUUUAACCUCCGUAACCACCUUCUGGGUGCAGACCCCUGUACUCCUUCAUGUGUCUGGAAGAAAACACAGGCCAAGGUGGAUUACGAAACUACAGCCUAUGUAAUUACACUUUUGUAUCAACUUCAGUUUUGCCUCUUGUAAUUACACAAGGGUAUCUUGAUAGGUGUAACAGCCUAUUCUCUCUCAUGUAAUUACACAAGGGUAAUAACAAAUGUAUUACAUGCGUAAUCAGAUGGAACAGCAGGUAUCCUCUUAUCUUAAAGUAUAAUUAAGGGUGAAACGAUGACUCGAGUAAUUCGAGUUACUCGAUUACAUAAUUUUCUGUGCCUCGAGGAAUCGUUUAUUUCAUUUAAAACUCAGAGCGUAGCACAGAAAGAAGGAGGAGGUGGACACAGCAGAGGUUUUGAGUUGAGAGGCGGGAAUAUGGAAGCGGCGAGGGGAAACGGCGAAAACGUACGAGAAGAAAAGCACAAUAGGAAAAGACAGAAAAUGUCAAAAGUAUGAGAGCAUUUUAGGCUCGACAGCAAGAACAACACAGUGACAUGUACUCGGUGCAACAUAGUCCUUGCCUACCACAACAGCACAUCUUCAAUGCUGCACCAUCUCGGCCGAGGACACCCAGGAUGGAGCGGAGCCGAGACGAGGUAAAUUUAACUUAUAACAAAUCAAUGGGAUUAACAUUAAUGUACCUUAAUAACAUCACGAGAGCCCUGUGGAGUGUUGACUAUUAGGAAUACUGUCGAAUGUGUGGCUAGUUUAUUACAUGUUCUUGACUUAAUUCAGGCUUUAUGUAAUCAGUAGACACAGCGCUGUGGAGUUAACGAGAUAGCUAAACAAUAAAUACAUGUUAAAGUUCGCUGAACUAAAGUUACUUUGGUCGGAAACAAUAUGCUUGAUUUUUUUUCAUCUAUGAUUACGUUUGGCUGGUGAGACAAAAAGGUCAUUUCAGACACUGUGUGUCUCUUAGUUGAUGGAUAAAAUGUCAACGACCACUAGUGCCUAAUGUGCCCUAAUGUCAAUUUUAGGGUUCAUUAAUGCACGGCCGUGAACCUACUGUAUUAUGUCAUUUAGUCUUAGUGAUGUCAAUGAACUAAUUAUUAUUAUUUAUGGUCUUUUUUUAGUAAAUCAUCAUCAUCACAGUCUCGGAUGGACAAAUUUAUCUACAAAGCGCCGUUAUGUAGACCCGAGCAACAAAUAGCAUUUUAAACAUGAUGGUCCCAGACAUGCGCCCACUGAGCAUGGUGGAGGAUGCCGGUUUUAAAGCGAUGAUUUCAACUUUCCAUCCCAAUUAUGAGCUUCCAUCAAGAACUUUCUUCACAAAACAAAUGGAGAAAAAGUAUGAAGGUGUCAAAGCCAAGAUGAAACAGGCCCUGCAAGAGGCUGAGAGCAUUACACUCACAACUGAUAUUUGGACGAGCAUCGCAACAGAAGCUUAUAUGGGGGGGUGACAUGCCACUGUCUUGGGAAGAAUUGGAAAAUGGUGUCACACUGCCUGACAACGAUGCCCCUUGAGGAAAGACAUACAGCUGCAAAUAUUGCACAAUGGACCGAGGAGGUGAUAACCAAAUUUGACGUUACAACAGAGAAAAUCAAAGCUGUCGUCCACGACAAUGGCGCUAAUGUUGUGGCAGCAUCGAAGAUUUUGCAAGAAAGGUUCGGAUGGGCAUCAGUGUUGUGUCCUUGUGCAGGGCACACCCUAAACUUGGUUGUUCAAAGCUCUCAUCAGAUUCAUCAGGCUAUCCCAAAGUGUGUUUCAAAAAAAGUGAACUUUCAUGUGCCAAGUUGAAGGACAAGGAGAUGUCAAGGAGAACAGGCUGGUGCAAGAUGUCUGGACACGCUGGAACAGCACCUACGCCAUGUUGGCCAGACUACAGGAACAGAGAUGGUGACUGCCACACUCUCUGAUCCAGCAGUGACUCAGAGAGGGAAACAUUACCUGGACCUCAAACCUGAACACUGCAACCUGAUUGAGGAGCUGAACCAUGUCCUUGAGCCCUUUCAAUCAGCUACAGUGUAGUCUCUGCACUUCCACAUCUUGUGCACAUGUGAACUUAAGCAGAACAUACAGAGGCCAGAACUUGAGACUGCACCCGUGAGGUCAUUUCAGACUCAUGCAGCAGAACAGGUCACAGAACGAUGGCAAGAACUAACUAAGUUUACUCCUGAAUCUCCAAACAUCACCCUGCUUGCUGCUGCUUUGGAUCCCAGGUUUCGAAAACUGAGAUUCUUGCCUGCUGAUGAAGUAUUCAAGGUCCAAAAUGCAGUACGAGCCAUGGCACUUGCUGCCAAACAGCAAGUGAGGCAGCCCACCGCAAGUAACCAUGGAACAUCUGGCACAGAAGCACCAGCAGCAUAUGCCAAGGAGGCUACACCUUUCUUUGACUCAGACACCACCACAAGUCAUGACCAAGAUGAGGAGAAGCAGUUAAAUGCUGUAGAGCAGGAGGUCUUGCUGUAUUUUGGAGAACAUCCUAAUCCAAGAAGGAGAAUCCACUGACCUGGUGGGAAAAGAAUGCAGUGCGCUAUCCAACAUUGGCAGAAUUGGCAAGGUCUCUGCUGUGUAUUCCAGUUACAUCCACGCCAUCGGAGCGUCUGAUUUCAGCUGCAGGUAAUAUCGCUUCGGCAAGCCGAAGCCCUGAACAUGUUGACAUGCUAACCUUCCUGCAGUGCAACCAAAUGCUCCUUUAAAGAACGCAAACACACACACAGUGGCCUUUGCCUCGAUUCUCCUGAAUCUAUUACAGCACUCACAGCAGAAAGAUGUGAAACUGCAUGGACCUGUUCCUGUUCAAAUGUCCAGAAGCUAAAAUGCACAAUAUAAAGCCAAUGUUUAUUCCUUUAUUUAUUUAUUUAUUUUUUAAUGCCCUAUAUUUUUUAUACUUACAAGAAAUCCUAAGUUGAAAGUAAUUUAAUUGAUUUUUUUACUUUUACUUUUUUACUUUUUUUUUUAACUUUUUUUACUUACUUUUUACUUUUACAUUUGCUUCUAUUCUGUUUUAUUUAUUUCUAUUUGUGCUUGCAAUUUGGAAAUGUAUGUCGUGAAUUAAAAAAUAUAACUUAUUUUAAAAAGAAAACCAAUUGGUCAUUCAUUAUUAAGUGAAAUGUCUUGUUUUCUCUUGUGUGUUUUUAAUUGCGCUUUACAUAAGGAAAUAUGUUUUAUCCGAUUACUCGAUUAAUCGAAUCGACGUUUCAGUAGAGUACUCGAUUACUAAAAUAAUCGAUAGCUGCAGCCCUACUUACAAUGUCUACAUUACUAAAUUAUUCCAUUAUUAAAACAGUACCUACAUAACAACUACACUAACUGCCAACUUAUUGUAAAUUAUAACUAACACUGCUCUACAGGAAAGUUCCUGCGUAUAACAUACACUGAUUAUAUGAGGCAAAACAAGUUGAUACACACGUGUAAUUACAUAGGCUGUACUUCUGUAAUCCAUCUGUAACAGUGACCAACUCAUCAUUGUUGUUCCAUAUGUUAUUCAUGUGUAACUACACACAUGUUAUUAGUUAUUAGAGCUCAGGUUGCUUCAUCCUAAUGGGAGUUACAGCAGAAUAUUCAGGGCCUCUUUCGAGCGAAUCUCCCUAUACAACCAAUAACCACCCAAUUAGCCUCACACUAACCUACGGGAACACCAAGUGAUGGGACAGUCCAGCCAAAAUGAAAUACACCCAUCACCAAAAACGGCUGUGAGCACAGAUGCAGUGCUGCAGUAAUGCACGCUGAUGUCCACACUGAGUCUCGGAAUGAAGAUUUAAGGUGCACAUUUUGAAAGACUUCAGGCGCUGAGAGGUGGACACUCUGGGCAGUGGCUGAAUAUUUUCCUCUACCUUACAAUUACAUUUACGGCAUUUGGCUGACGCUCUUAUCCAGAGCAACUUACAAUUUGAUCAUUUUUACACAGGUAGGCGAUGGGUAGUGUUAGGAGUCUUGCCCAAGGACUCUUAUUGGUAUAGUGUAGGGUGUUUGCCCAGGUGGGGAUUGAACCCCAGUCUACAGUGUAGAAGGCAGAGGUGUUACCCACUACACUACACCAACCACUCUACCUGAAUUCCUAGUGGAUGUCAGUGGUCAAUCCCAGACGUGGUGUUUCUGUUAAGAAGUCGAAUCUCUAACUUGGCUAAAAAGCAAAUCUGUGAAGUGAUGUCAGCAUGUUAACUACUCAGCUAAUUGUAGGGAUUCCUAAUGAUGAUAUGACAUGUUUGCACAAUAUCUGCUGGGUACUGUAGUGAAAAGAGGUUUAGUGAAUGAAGUCACGAAAUUGGUGUAAAAUUCAAACGUUAAAUGCGGCUGAGAGGUACAGAGAAGUGUCACGGAGAACUGCAUAAAAAGACAAAUAACAACAGCAGACUGGCAUUUUAACUAAUCUUAAACUGAAACUUACCAGAGCUAACACUAAACGUACACUGAUCCUAAACUAACACUAAUCCUGAACUAACACUAAUCCUGAACUAACACUAAUCCUGAACCAGCCCUAAUCUUAAACUGAAACUUAAAUCAACACUUAUCCAGAGCUAACACUAAACUUACACUAAUCCUAAACUAACACUAACCCUGAAUUUACACUAAUCCUAAACUUACACUAAUCCUGAACUAACACUAAUCCUGAACCAACCCUAAUCUUAAACUGAAACCGAACUUAAACGAACACUUAUCCAGAACUAACACUAAUCCUAAACUAACACUAAUCCUAAACUAACACUAACCCCAAACUUACACUAAUCCUAAACUAACACUAACCCUAAACUAACACUAAUCCUAAACUAGCUCUUAAAUAACCCUAACUCUAAAAUUAACCCAACCAUUCAUGAAUAUUAAUCCUUAACGAACACUGACCCCGUACUCACAGGACCUGACAUCUAAAGUAAUAUUCAAACUCCACACUAACUCUACACUAACUCUACAUUAACUCAACACUAUCUCUAAAUUUUUCACUAUCUUUACAUGGACUAUACCUUAAUUCUACACUAUCUUUACUACUAACUCCACAUUACACUAACUCUACUCUAACUCCACACUAACUCUACACUACCACCACAUUAACUCAAUACUAUCUCUAAACUUUUCAUGUUCUUUACAUGAACUAUACACCUCCAUGCUUAGUCCACAUGAACUCUACACUAACUCUACACCUCCAUGCUUACUCCACAUGAACUCUACACUAACUCUACAUUUCGAUGCUUAGUCCACAUGAACUCUACACCGCCAUGCUUACUCCACGUGAACUCUACACCUCCAUGCUUACUCCACAUGAACUCUACACCUCCAUGCUUACUCCACAUGAACUCUACACGGACUACACCUCCAUGCUUACUCCACAUGAACUCUACGUCUCCAUGCUUACUCCAUGUGAACUCUACACUCUCUACAUUCACUCCACAUUACCUCUACACUAACUCUACACCAACUCUACACUAAUGCCACAAUGUCUACACAUGUCUAAUGCUACCCUAACUCUACUCUAACUUCAUAUCAACUCUAUAUAAUCUCUAUGCUAACUCUACACUAACUGUGUCCUAAUGCUAACUCUAAAUUAAACUCACUAAUAAACUCUUUUAGAGUGAGUGCAAGAAUAACCAACAGUGACCAUGUAGGUGGAGCCAUGUGUGUAAUGACAGAGUCAGAUGAAGCAGAUGAAGGUGAACUACAAAGAGCAUGAAACACCUAAACUAAUCCAGAGAAAACAAUGUGGUUUAAUUUGUGAUAGCAAUGUGUGUGUGUGUAUGUGUGUGUGUGUGUGUUCUGUCACCUGUUAUUUCUCAUGAUUGAAUGUUGUAAAGGUUAAAGGUCAUGCUGCUGUCUCCAGGACAGACAUGCUGUGGCGCAGGAGAUUCUGAACUCACUGUUGAGGCUCCUCCCUCAUUCUCUGUUACUCUCUCUCAUGUUUCCUCACAUAGAGUAACACUGCACAGUCUGCACAUCCUGUUACCAUGGCAACGGGCCUUCUGCCAUCCCACAAUUCCUGCUCCACACUCACAGGCACAGUGAAGCGAUCAGGUGGAAGAAGCUGCAGUUUUUCAGUUGGACGUUUUCAGGGCACUCGCAUGUUUACCAUUAAACAGUGUUACUCAUGUAUGUAUAUUAAAGCAUAAACAUAUUCUAACCACACAAGCUGGAGAAAUAAAAGGAGGAAUGUGUAAAUAAGACAAUAUAACCCCA